rnacentral:tmRNA from 1 species
GGGGCUGACCGGUAUUGACAGUAAGUGUAAAGAUUGGGCUCGCAUGCAGGCUGGAGUAUGUACGGCCUUAAAAGAUUCAUACGAACCAUAAAUGGCGAAGAUACUUACGCCAUGGCUGCAUAAUCUAACCCCUCGGGGAAUAGAUAACGCUUAAAGGGUUGAGCUCCAUACCGGAGUUCCCCGGCCACAUCCCUCCGCCCCCCGUCCUUUCGGGGUUGAUCAAGGGGUGUCGACUUGAUUGGACUGCGGCUUGUGAUGCUAUUAAGCAGGCUUAAGUUCUAAUAGCUAAGUCAGAGUGAGGUGUGUCACCCAGCAUAUUCUGAACGAAAAAACAACAGGUGACUAAGCAUGUAGACGGUACGGUGUUUCCUUAUCUGGACGCGAGUUCGAAUCUCGCCAGCUCCACAA